rnacentral:rRNA from 1 species
UAACACGUGGGUGAUCUGCCCUGCACUUCGGGAUAAGCUUGGGAAACUGGGUCUAAUACCGGAUAGGACCAUGGUUUAGUGUCUCAUGGUGGAAAGAUUAUUGUUUUGGUGCAGGAUGAGCUCGCGGCCUAUCAGCUUGUUGGUGGGGUAAUGGCCUACCAAGGCGUCGACGGGUAGCCGGCCUGAGAGGGUGGACGGCCACAUUGGGACUGAGAUACGGCCCAGACUCCUACGGGAGGCAGCAGUGGGGAAUAUUGCACAAUGGGCGCAAGCCUGAUGCAGCGACGCCGCGUGGGGGAUGACGGCCUUCGGGUUGUAAACUCCUUUCGUUAGGGACGAAGCCACAUUUUUUUGGGUGUGGUGACGGUACCUUUGUUAAGAAGCACCGGCUAACUACGUGCCAGCAGCCGCGGUAAUACGUAGGGUGCGAGCGUUGUCCGGAAUUACUGGGCGUAAAGAGCUCGUAGGUGGUUUGUUGCGUCGUCUGUGAAAUUCCGGGGCUUAACUUCGGGGUGGCAGGCGAUACGGGCAUAACUAGAGUGCUGUAGGGGAGACUGGAAUUCCUGGUGUAGCGGUGGAAUGCGCAGAUAUCAGGAGGAACACCGAUGGCGAAGGCAGGUCUCUGGGCAGUAACUGACGCUGAGGAGCGAAAGCAUGGGGAGCGAACAGGAUUAGAUACCCUGGUAGUCCAUGCUGUAAACGGUGGGCGUUAGGUGUGGGGACCGGUUUGGUUUCUGUGCCGUAGCUAACGCAUUAAGCGCCCCGCCUGGGGAGUACGGCCGCAAGGCUAAAACUCAAAGGAAUUGACGG